AUUCCUGCCCACAGUAGAUGAGGGUUUUGAUUGUUUUUCCACAUUCUAGCCAACCCUUGUUACUAUCUGACUUUUUGAUUCUAGUCAUCCUUGUGGGUGUGAAGUGGUAUCUCAUUGUGGUUUUGAUUUGCAUUUCCCUGAUAGCGAAUGAUGUCAAGCAUUUUUUCAUGUGCUUAUUGGCCAUUUGUGUAUCUUCUUUGGAGAAAUGUCUAUUCCGAUCCUUUGCCCAUUUAAAAAAAUCGGAUUGUCUAUUAUUGAGUUGUUGUAGUUCUUUAUAUAUUCUGGAUACAAAUACCUUAUCUGAUAUAUGAUUUGCAGAUAUUUUCUUCCAUUUUGCAAGUUGUCUUUUCACUUUCUUUAUGGUAUUGUUUGCAGCAGUUUAAAAUUUUGGCGGAAGUCCAAGUCUCUAUUUUUCCUUUUGUUGCUUGUGCUUUUAGUGUUGAUAAUUAAGAACCAGCUCUGUGUGACUCUGAAGCUGGUGCUCUUUUUGCCUUCAACCUUCCAUGGGGGAUGUAGAAAUUGGUGGUCAGGAUUUGGUAGUCAGUCGUCUUAGGCUUGAGUGAGGGUGCAGAGCUGUGGAGAAUAAUGACCCUGGAAUCAAACGGAUUUGAGUUCUAAUCCUAGCCAGGCUGUUGCUUUCUUUGGUGACUUGGGCAGGUCAUUCAAUGCCUUUGAACCUCAGUUUACUCAUCUGUACAAUGGGAUAAUCACACUUGCCCUCGAGGUUGCUGUGAGAUUAAAUGGGGGUGGAGCAAGCACAUGGAAGAUGCUUCCUAGACAUAGCUGGGUUGACAUUGGCCUCUGAGUUCACCACGAAGAGCCCCCCCCAACUCCCCACACCCCAGUACUGUGCAGGGCUCUGGACCUGGAGACACACAGCACCUCUCUUGCCCUCAGAUGCCAGGCACCAGGGCACACGGCCGGGAGUCCCUGGGCCUCUGUCCCAGUGAACUUUUCUCUGGAGCCUGAACACAAAGCAUAGUUUCCCUUUGUCCUGCUGAAACCUGUGAGGGCAGCAGAGGGAACCAGAAGGAACCAUUAAACUGUCAGGCAGAGGGAGGCGGAGGUUCCAGUUUAGAAAUUGCCCCCCCAGGCCUGCCCCAGCUCCCAUAGCCUUUCAGCCUCUGUUACCAAUAAGGCAACUAAGGCUCAGAGAGGUGAAGCCAUUUGAUGGAGGUCACACAGCCCCAUCUUGAAAAGCAAUACAAAGAAGGGCUUCUUGCCUCCAGGUCUGAGAAUCUUCAGGCAUCACCCUGGCACGUGCCCCACUUCUUGUGGAGUCAGGACCUUGGAAUGCCCCCCUACCUGCAGUGCACCUUCCUGGCUCCCCAUUAGGACAAGACGCUUUGGAGCCACACAGAACUGGGCUGGAAUCCAGUGACACCAUUUACUCUCUGAACCUCAGUCUCUUCAUCUGUUCAGUGGGGAUAUUUGUUCCUGCCUCUAUGGUUGCUGUGAGGAUGGAAUGAAGGCUGAACCUUGUACGAGCUGAGUGUGGACCCAGCCCUCUGCUCCUUCAGGGCAGAGACCACGUCUGUAGUGGUACCUUGGGCUAACAUCAUGAAGUGAUUGUUAUGCACUGGACCAUCUUCUGAAAACUUUCCCUGGAUUAACUGUCUGAAUUCUGACAACCCAGUUCCUCCCAUUUUAUUGACAGCACACAGAGGUAAAGUCAUGUUCCCAAGUUCACACAGCUAGCAAGUACCCACACCGUUAUUUGAACCCAGACCAUGCCUAGCUCAGAGGAGGUGGUCCAUAAAUAUUUAUUGCAAGAAUAAAGGAAUGGGUUUUGUUAGAAAAGAGCUAGACUGCGGACUGAUUGCUUGAUUGUCAAAACUUGUGGUUCAUCAAGUUACCAGAGUUCAAGUCAAGCUAAUCAAGUACAGGUCAAACUGAUCAAGUGCCCCCUUGGGGUCCCAGCCUGUGACCAGACCUGACCUCCAGCUCCCCAAACACAUAUGGCUGCAGGACUGCAUCACAGCGUUCCUGGGCUCUACGCACUUUUGCCUUUGUGGGCCCCUUCCUCCAUUAAAAAAAUAAUAAAAAUUAUAUUUUACGACUGUUGGUACGAGAAGGAACAUUAUUCAGGCUGGAUUAUAUUACAGUUUGUCUUUUAAAAAAAGUUAAACAUUUUCAUGGGCCCCUAAAAUAUCAUGGUCCCUAAACACUCCGCCUUCUGUGCAUAGUGGAGAAGUCAGGCCUGAGUGACUGAGCUCACAAUCCUGUUCUGGGCUCAGAGCAUUCGUCACUGCAUUUACAUUGCACACAAGCGUUCGUAGAGGGCGUGAUUAUGUCCAUUAGAGAGAUGGGAAAACUGAGACUUGGAGAAGUUGGCCAGCUCACCCAGGAGCACAGAGAGAGUCCAUGGCGAAGCUCACGUCUGAGAGUUUGCCAUGUCAUCAGAGGAAGUUCCAACAAGGGCACUCUUGGGCUGUGCUGAGGAUGACAUCCACGUGGCAGUGAAUUUGUCACAGUGUCAAGAUAAAUGUGGGGCCGGCACAGGGAUGGCCGACGGAACAGAGAGAUUUGGGAGACUCAGACGGAUUCUUGCUUGACUUAUGGCCCCAGAGUGGUGGUGAGGGUGGGGGGCAGAGGAAGGGCCAGCUCCUUGUCCUUAGACUUGAACUUCUGGGCGAAGCUGGUGGCCUCUGAGUCUGUGACUCUGUUGGGGUGGAGACUGGGCUAUUUAUAGGCUGGGAAUGAUCCCUCCCAGCUCCGAAUGCAGGUGGUCGGUGAUAAGGUGGCUGCUCUGUAAUGAGCUCAGUGGGAAGUUAAUAAACGCCAUUAUACUCAGAGAGCAAUUGCAGACUUGAGCAUGAAAUAAGAGAAAUAGCCAAGGGGCGGCAGGACCCCUGAGCUGAGGAACAGCUGCGAUGAGCACACCCUCCCCCCGCCCCGCACCAUGUCAGACAGUCUCCGCUUCCUGCAAUGGCUCAGCUGUUCCCUGGUGUGUGACCUUGGGCGUGUGGCUUCACUGUCUCACGGCUGCCUCCUCUGUACAUUGGGGCUAAUGGGAAUUAAACAGCGAUGGCACCGACAAGCACCGCUAAGAUGCUGAAGCCGGGCAUCCUGUUAAGGGCCAAUGCACAGGGCUGCUCUAAACAGCUCAGAGCCAGGAGCUCUUCCGCUACAAGUGAAGGACUGGAGCUUUGCUGAUUCAGCCCCCAGGUAUUUAUUGAGUUCCUACGAUGUACUGGGUUCUCAGCUGGGUGCUGCAUCAGACAGGUCCCCUGGGCCUUAGGUUCAAGAGGAGGGAGACAGAAAAUAACACAUAAACAAGGAUUAUACAGUAUGUCAGAGAGAGGCAGUGAAGGAGGGCAGGGGAGGAGUGGGGGGCUGCUCUUUUACUGAGGGGGUCAAGGAAGGAUGCUCUGGUAAGGUUACAUGUGCACAGAGUCCUAAAGACAGUGAGGGGACAAGCCAUGGAAAUAGCUGGGGGAAAAGCACUCCAGGUGGACGGACCAGCAAGAGCAAAGGCCCUGAGGUGGGAAGGUGAGGUUGGGUUUGAGGAAGGAGGAGGCCAGGGUGGCCAGAGGCGGGGGAGGAGAACUGAGGCCAGAGAAGUCAUGGGGGCCAGGUUGGGUGGGGACUUUGUUAGGACUCUCCUUGGGGGAAGGGCUUGUGGUCGCGGUGUUGUCACUGGCCAGCGGCCCUCAGCUGUCAGCCCCAGGGAUGGCGCAGCUGCAGGGAGCCACCUUGCCCUUCCUUGCUGUCCACGUCCAGUAACUGACAACGGUAGGGGUGUGAGGGCCGGGCCACUUCCGCCCGAUGUGGGCUAACUCCCACGGGCCUUUCUGGCUCCGGGGCUCUCCUGGGCCUGCCUCUCCACCUGACUCAUCCCUCUGCCCAGGCUUCCCUGCCCUCCCCUUCCAGCGGCGUUGAUCCCGCCGGGCGCAUGCUUCACCCCAUCUCAGUUUCUCCUUUUAGAAAAUGGCAUUGAUGACCCCAAAGAUUCUUCCAUCUGAACCUUCUGGAUUGUGUGAUAAAAGGCUGUUCUGGCCAGGGUGCGGGGUGGCUUUUCAUGCCUUUGCUUGAAAUCCAACCUGCUACAGCCUCGUAGGGAAUUUUAAGGACUCGGGCUUUUAAUGAGAUGGAGAAUGCUUGGAAGGUUGGGCUCCCAGGAGGGAUGUGACCUGAUCUGCCUUUUGGAAGGAUCACCCCGGCUGCGGCCAGGGUUGGGAGGCUUGUGGGGCUCAGGUAUAAGGCGACAAGUCCCCUUUCUAGUCUCACGGCCAGAAAUAUGAUCACUGUGAUUGUCGUUACUGCUAUGACCGCUGAUAAUCUAGGCAGACGGGGGACAAAAGUCCCGGUAAAUAGGGGAGGAAAAAAAUCACUUCUGAGUGUUGCUCAGAGGGGUCUUCUGGGGCAUAAUCUUCCCAGGACUCUUGGGAUCCCCAUUACCCCGAAUUUAGUUGGGGUUCACUCUUCACCUGUACCUCUUGUGUGCCAAGUCUGUCCUGGGUGUCGGGGAUAGAGUUUGACCAGAGUCAGUCCUGUCCUUGAUGAUUUUAUGAUUUACUGGGGGAGAUAGACAAGUGGAUGGCAGAUUGCAACCCAGUGAAAAGUGCUCUGAUGGGGAGUAGAGGGGCCUAGGAUGCAUUUGGGAGGCUCCGAAAUUAAUUUAGGGGGUGGUGCAAGGAAAGAGGGGGUGAUGUCCUAGCAGAAACGGAAGCAUGAGUAGGAGUUAGCCAGGGAGGGGACAGCAUGGGCACAGGCCUGGAGGUGAGGGAGAUAGGGAUGGCUCCUAGUUAGGACUUUAUCCUCUUAGUCAAGGCUGUCUUGCUUCAAUGUCACAGCUACUCACAUAAGAAUUUGUGGCCAUAGCUUUCCCUCUCAUGGCUAAAAAGGUGCCCAGAGAGUCCCCCUUACCCCCAGGAUGGCCUUUAUCACACAGUGGAAUGUUGAGAUGGAAUCACCCUUGGGGUCGUCAAUUCUGUUUUCUAAAUCGAGAAACUGAGUCCCAGACAAGAAGAAGUGAUUCGACCAAGCAUGCACUGUAAAGCUGGGCCUUGGUGUGGGACUCGGGCUCUUUCCUGCCUUACACGUUGAGGGCUCGUCCCUAAAGCUUUGCCCUGUGGAUUGAGCGGGCAGCUAAAACUUGGCUGAAGCCCCCAGCGUGGGCUUGGCACAUAGUAGAUGUGCAGUUAAUAUCAUUCUCUUUCCAUCCAUGUGUCCUAGCUCUGCCACCACUCCCUGGCUGUGCAACCUUUGGAUAAUACCUCACCCUCUCUGGGCCUCAUGUGCUUGAUGGGAAGGUGGGAUGGAAAACCACCUGGGGUAUCUUCCAGGGCUAACCUUCUGAGAACAGAAAGGGACGGACAAUCAUUUGGCUAGCAGGAUAGUUGCAUGAUUCCAUUUCUGCUAAGAUUUUCUGCCUCUCAGAGCAGCCUCUGGGAUGUUUUACUUUGCCCACAGGCCUGGGGUGCUAAUUGGAAACAGAGGCAGGGGGUCCAAAGGGGAGAAUCCACAAAAGGCCCCACGGUGUGUGUUUGCAUUUGCGUUUCGUCCCUACAGAAGGCUUAUUUCCAAGCCAGCAGCUGCCCAUCCCCUUUGAAGAGCCUUCACGGCAGCCGCCAUCCAUCACCCGCUUGGCAUGACUGUUAAGUACCAGUGCUCAGCGCCGAGCGCUGAGGGACGGAACUCCAAGAGGGGUCAGCCCAGGGCCAGGGAAUUAGAAAGAGGCAAUCGAAGCAGAGGGGCUGGAGCAAACUGGUUAACACGCAGGCUUUGAGUGAGGAGGCUCUGGGUCACAUCCCCGUGUGGUGGGCUAUUGCUGCUCGGCUGCCUCAUUCUGCUCUGUGGGGUUUGAGAACAGAUUCUUGGUCUUCCUUUGUGAGAAUGUACCUUUCCUACACCCUAAGCCCCUCCCAGCCUCAGAAGUGGGCAUGCAAUCCUGGUUCGGACAAUAGUACCUUCCAAUCCUUCUGACCACAGAGAGCAGGUUAGAUGGCCACACAACCCUCCAGGUUGGUCCAAUGAUACUUGCAUUUCAAUGGUGGGUGCUGAGUUGGUUUGGGGUACACCUAGAGCUGCUUUUGGCCAUCUUACCUCCACGAGGGAGAAUUCCCCUGGGAGUAAAACUAUCACAAAAGAAAGCACACCAAGAGAUGGAGAAAGACAGAUACCGAGUGCCUAGAUCCAGCCAUGCCUGAUGCUGUUACCUUAGAUUUUCCUGCUACAUGAGCCUAUAAAUUCCUUUCACUGGCUUAAAGGUUUUUGUUUUUAAUUGGAAAGAGUAGCCAUGAGUCCCCACUAUUACACCCAUUAGGCAUAUGAUUUCACCUCUCUGGACCUCAGUUUUUUUACCUGUAAAAUGGGGGUGACAAUAAUACCAGGUAGUUAAUAUUUAGGUUAAAUGAAAUAAUGUAUGUAAAGCACUCAUCACAGUGUCUGACUCUAAUAAAUGCUCAAUUCAGCUAUAAUUAAGCCAUCCCCAACCCGUUAGGGUCCACAGAGCCCUUUCUUGGCCUCUUGUUCUCAUGUGAAGGGUUCCUGUGAGGCUUAAACAAGGUGUUAUGAAUUCAAAAUGCCUACCGUGUAGUCUGGCACAUUCAGGUACGGUUGUUCAGUGGUUUUCUGGUGAGCAGGUUAUGGAAGCCCUGAAGAACUGAAGAACAGGUGAAUUGCGAGUACUGCAGAGCCAAGAAUGGAAGGCAGUGAGAGGUGGUCUAAAUAGGACAAACCAUCCACCCUGGGGACAUCCUAUGGGUCCCAGCAGCACACUCCCCUCUCAUUACCCGAGCUAUAUGCUCUAGCGGUUCUCCCUAUGAGGGGUGCAUGGGUCCUUCUGUUGUGGCGGGCUAUGUGGGUGGUCUUGUAGGCUUGGUUGGCCCCUGAUCCAGUUGGUUGCCAGGCCCUGCCUUGUGUGGAGGCUGCCGGCCAAUGGUUGGCAAGGCUGUGUCUCGAGGUGGCUGACUACAGAACCCUAGGGUACCCCGGGGCUAGUACUGGCUCACAGGUGGGCGGAGUCAGGGUACAGAAGACUCUAAGGCUGUUGCCCCCCACUGGUGGGUGAAGCCAGGUCCUGGGGGGCUAGUGCCGGAUACUGGCAGGCAGAGCUGGAUCCUGGAGUCUGGCUGCAGGGCCCAGGGGUCCCAGAGCUGGUGUCAGCUCACAGGUGAGGGUGCAGUUCCUGACACAGUUGGGUACAGAGUCUGGGGUGUCCUGAAGCUUGUGUUGGCCUGCUAGUGGGCCGGGCUGGGGCCCAACUGGUCCCAGGGCAGGGUCGGGCCUGCUGUCAGCUGGCUGGGUCCGCAGGCUGUGGGGUUGUGGUUUUCUUGCACGUUAUGUCCGCCCCAGGUGGGUGGGGCUGGUCCAGAGGCUCCCCGGGGCGGAGCCUGGCGCAGGGGAUUCUGGGACUGUGGGCGGAGCUGAGUUCUGGGCCCUCUUGCGGGCAGGGCUUCGUUCAGAGGCCUCUGUGAGCUUAGGGCGUCUUAGGUCAGCCUGACUGCUGGUGGGUGGGGCUGUGUCCUCGCCCAGUUAGUUGCUUGGCCUGAGGCGUCCCAGCGUUGGCCCCAGCAGGCUGUCGGGCGAGGCCAGGUCUUGUCGCUAAGGAGCUGGAGGCCGGCAUCAGCCUCCCUCAGUGGAAGGAGCUCCCAAAUAUGGCUGCUGCCAGGAUGAGCCCCAGUCUUCCCGCCUCACCCGGGGACCUUCCAAGACCUGCAGGUGGCUUGAUCAGAGAGUGAUGCCAGGACUUCUGCAGCCAUCUUGUGUCCAUGAGGAGAGCCAGACCAGGGACAAAGUGGACAUGCAGGGAAGGACACAGAGGAGUAGAUCCAGACCCCUGGAGGCAUCCCAUCAGUGCACCCUCCCCCUGGGCUUCCCACGAGGUUUGGUCCAGGUGAUACUGCCACACAUCUUUUCUCCUCACCAGAGCAUGCUAGCAGAUCCAGUUUGCUCCUGAAAAUGGUGGUGAU